rnacentral:rRNA from 1 species
AGAGUUUGAUUCUGGCUCAGGAUGAACGCUGGCGGCGUGCUUAACACAUGCAAGUCGAACGGAGUUUUUAAACGGAAGUUUUCGGAUGGAAGUUUAAGAACUUAGUGGCGGACGGGUGAGUAACGCGUGGGUAACCUGCCUCAUACAGGGGGAUAACAGUUAGAAAUGACUGCUAACACCGCAUAAUAUAGUGAAACCGCAUGAUUUUGCUAUCAAAUAUUUAUAGGUAUGAGAUGGGCCCGCGUCUGAUUAGCUAGUUGGUGGGGUAAAAGCCUACCAAGGCGACGAUCAGUAGCCGGCUUGAGAGAGUGACCGGCCACAUUGGGACUGAGACACGGCCCAAACUCCUACGGGAGGCAGCAGUGGGGAAUAUUGGACAAUGGGGGAAACCCUGAUCCAGCGACGCCCGCGUGAGUGAAGAAGUAUUUCGGUAUGUAAAGCUCUAUCAGCAGGGAAGAUAAUGACAGUACCUGACUAAGAAGCCCCGGCUAACUACGUGCCAGCAGCAGC